rnacentral:lncRNA from 1 species
GUCACCUGCUUUUACCUACUGAGUCAUAUUGCUGACCCUUACCACAGCAUCUUUUUUUAAAUGUAUGUUUACUUAUAUGUAAGUGGUACAUCUGUGUUGUGGGUAUGUACAGGUGCUUAGAGACCAGAAAAGGGCAUUUGGUCCCCUUGAGCUAGAGUAACAGGUGAUUCUGAGCCCACCCCACUCCACCCACCCCCGUGUCAGUGCUGGGAAACAAAAUUCCUCUGGAAGAGCAGCAAGUGCCAAGUGUGGUACACACUUAUAACCCCAGCAUUGGAGAAGUGGAGCCAGAAAGAUUCCUGGGGCUUUCUGACUAGCCAGCCUAUCUGAAUCAGGGAUGCCAGGCUCAGUACGAUAUGUGGUGCCAAAAACAAGAGGGAGGAUGAUUCAGAAAGAUACCUAAUGUCAACCUCUGGCCUCCACACAUGCACACACAUGUGGAAGUGUAGGUUAGGUGGUACAUGGAGAAUCUGAGCUAGGAGGAUUGCUUUGUGUUAAGGCCAGCCUGAGCUAUACAGGGCGCAGAAUGUAAUGAUGUGGCUCCGUGCUAGAGUGCUUGCUUGCCAGCAUGCACAGGGCCCUAGGCUUGAUCUCCAGCAUUACAGUCUGGUAAAAUAGAAUGCUAGUCAUUUGUUUGAGCCAAAAGGCAGCUCAGUGGGUAGAGGUAACUGGUGGCAAGCUUGGUAACCUGAAUUUGAUGUCCAGAGCUUAUGGUGAAAGCAGAGAAUUGGCUCCUGCAAACUGUCCUCUGACCUCCAUAUGUACACCGUGGAAUUGUACAUAUUUGUACAAUUUGUAAGGGCUGGAGAGAGGUUUAUUGUUUAGAACUGAUUAUUCUUCCAAAGUACCCAAGUUCAAUUCCCAGCACCCACAUGGCAGCUCACAACUGUCUGUAAUUCCAGUUCCAGGGGAUCUGAUGCCCUCAUACAGGCAUAUGUGCAGGUAGAACACCAAUGUACAUAAAAAAUAAUUUUUAAAAUUUUAUUGUUUUUAAAAAGUGGGUCUGACUAGAGUACUCUCCUACCAAGGCCAGGCCACCCUGCCUGCCCCAGGCCUGCUGGCUGCUCGUUGUUCGUCAGCACGCCUGCCCUCUGCCCUGCAGAACCGCAGUCUUCACGCUUUUGAGCAGACUCUUCUCUCUGGCAGAUACGCCCAGCUUUGCCCCUGCACGCUCCUUCAUUGGUUGAAUUCAGGCUCAUGAAGGUAGUUCUUUAUCUUUAUUAACAUAGCACCCUGUCUUUACCAUUGUUCCAGUGCUUAUCAGCACAGUGUUUUAGUUAAUUAUUUAUGUGUGUCUCUUUCCACUUGACUUUGAGCUUCUGAAGGUAGGAUAGCCUGUGUUUGCAUUUUGACACCUAACGUUGCUGGUAGGUAAAGGAAUAGAUAGGCAGUGGGGGAGCACAUGGUUAGCCAUGUUUAUAUACCCGGAUCCAUUCCCCUGGCACCAAAUACGCAUGCAUUGCCUUUGGAAAAGGCAGAGCAUUUAGCUUGGCUCCAUUCUUUCUGAAGAAUUGCACCUUAGUGAAGAAGUGGGGACCAUCUUCCAGAUUUACUCUGGGUUUGCUGUAGAUGACACAGAGAGGUUGAAAAGGCAGCGUUGACUUAGCCCCCGAUGGGAAGCAAGAACAGACAAGCAGGACAGUGUGUUCGUGUUGCUCUCUGAUGAAGCAGAGUGGCUUCUGAGCUUCCUGACCACAGUGUCACCCCGAGGACUGACUGCCUGGCUGCCAUAGAGGAGAGCUGAAUUCUAGAAAGUCUUCCAGGAGGUUUUCACAGUUGCCUCCUGGUGUGAGUGAGUUCUACAUUUACUCAGCCUGAGAAGGCACUCGGUCUUGUCCUGAAUGGCUAACUCUCUUCUUUUCUCCACAGGGAAACAACUGGAAGGCAUCUGGUAAGUGUGGUGCGCUCCUCAUUGACUGCUCUGGGAGCAAAGCCGCUCACUCCCCAGUUCAUUGGCUCUGCAGCUCCAGGCUCAAUGCCUGGCUCUUUGUUCACAAUUUCCCAUAGCCUGUUUUUUUUAAGGUUUUUUCUUGGGAGGGGGUGGGGUAGUUAGUUUUCAAGUAGGGUUUCUCUGUGUAGCCCUGACUAUCCUGGAACUCAAGUCUGUUAGACCAGGCUAGCCUCAAACUUAAAGAGAUCUGCUUGCCUCUGCCUCCUGAGUACUGAAUUCUUCUUCUUUUUUUUUUUCUUAAAGAAAGGGUUUUUUUUUGUUGUUUUUAUUUUUUAAGAUUUAUUUGUUUUUAUUUAUAUGAGUACCCUGUAGCUGUCUUCAGACACAGCAGAAGAGGGAAUCAGAUCCCAUUACAGAUGGUUGUGAGCCACUAUGUGGUUGCUGGGAAUCGAACUCAGGACCUCUAGAAGAGCAGCCAGUACUCUUAACUGCUGAGCCAUCUCUCCAGCCCCAAAUACUGAGUUCUGAAUGCUGGGAUUAAAGGUAUAUGCCACUAUCGGCACCCCAAGUUUUACUUUUAUGUGUAUGUAUGUAUGCCUUUACUCUAUAUGUGCUUAGUGCUCAGGAGGUCAGAAGAGAAUAUCAGAUCCCCUGAUACUCAAGUUACAAUCUCUCUAGCCCCAAGGCCAUUCUUUUCUACACAGGGAGCUCCGGUCCUGCCAGGGCUUUCUCAGACUCUGAGAAAGAGAGAAAAAAGAAAAGAAGGAAGGACAAUGUUUAGAAAAGUGCUUGUCCUGAGCAUACAUAUUCCCUAUCACUAUUCCCUGAACGGUGGAGCGCAAUGGCAUUUACAUCAUGUUAGAUAUUGUAUGUCAUCUUUAAAGAUACUUAAAAGGUCUAUGUGAGUUCCAUGUAUGGCCUAAAUUCCAUUUUAGACAAGUGCAUCUGUGGCUUUGGUACGAGGGUGGGAACAGUCCUAGAUCAGCCAGCCCACACUGAGAAUGUCUUGCUCAUGUCUUCAUCUGACUAAUAUAAAAUUGUCUACCGUGAUGCCUGCCAUCUUGGGGCAGAUGCUCUCUCUGCAGUAUGGUACUUGCUUUUCUUGGAGAGGCUGUAAGUCCCUGGCUCACUGUCCUCUCUGUGGCAGGCACACCUCUAUAGUUGUACACAAGGAUGAGUUCUUCUUCGGCAGCAGCGGUAUUUCCAGCUGUACCCCGGUGAGUGGCUUCCCCUGACCUGCAGAUGUGGGAGGGAGGGCUAUUGCCUGAGAAGUUCAGCUUCUAGCAUGUACCUCUGGCCUGUGGCAGUUCCUCGUGUUAGCAUUUAAGCCAGGUAUGUUGGUACACUACACAUGUCUUGAAUCCCAGCACUUGGGAAGCAACAGAUGAAUCUGUGAGUUGAAGGCUAGCCUGAUCUACUCAGAAUGUUCCAGAACAGCCAGAGCUACAUAAUGAAAGACACUUUC